UGCCAGCAGCCGCGGUAAUACGAAUGGGGCAAGCGUUGUUCGGAAUAACUGGGCUUAAAGCGUAUGUAGGCGGACAAGAAAGUCAGGAGUGAAAUCCCAGGGCUCAACCCUGGAACUGCUUCUGAAACUUCUUGUCUAGAAUACUGGAGAGGUUGGGAGAAUUCCUAGUGUAGAGGUGAAAUUCGCAGAUAUUAGGAGGAAUACCAGUGGCGUAGGCGCCCAACUGGACAGUUAUUGACGCUCAGAUACGAAAGCGUGGGGAGCAAACAGGAUUAGAUA
rnacentral:rRNA from 1 species